UACGAAGGGGGCUAGCGUUGUUCGGAAUCACUGGGCGUAAGGGGCGCGUAGGCGGCUUUGUAAGUCGGGGGUGAAAGCCUGUGGCUCAACCACAGAAUUGCCUUCGAUACUGCAUGGCUUGAGACCGGAAGAGGUAAGUGGAACUGCGAGUGUAGAGGUGAAAUUCGUAGAUAUUCGCAAGAACACCCGUGGCGAAGGCGGCUCUCUGGGACGGUACUGACGCUGAGACGCGAAAGCGUGGGGAGCGAACAGG
rnacentral:rRNA from 1 species